AUGAACGCUGGCGGCGCGCCUAAUACAUGCAAGUCGAGCGAACAGACGAGGAGCUUGCUCCUCUGACGUUAGCGGCGGACGGGUGAGUAACACGUGGAUAACCUACCUAUAAGACUGGGAUAACUUCGGGAAACCGGAGCUAAUACCGGAUAAUAUAUUGAACCGCAUGGUUCAAUAGUGAAAGACGGUUUUGCUGUCACUUAUAGAUGGAUCCGCGCCGCAUUAGCUAGUUGGUAAGGUAACGGCUUACCAAGGCGACGAUGCGUAGCCGACCUGAGAGGGUGAUCGGCCACACUGGAACUGAGACACGGUCCAGACUCCUACGGGAGGCAGCAGUAGGGAAUCUUCCGCAAUGGGCGAAAGCCUGACGGAGCAACGCCGCGUGAGUGAUGAAGGUCUUCGGAUCGUAAAACUCUGUUAUUAGGGAAGAACAAAUGUGUAAGUAACUAUGCACGUCUUGACGGUACCUAAUCAGAAAGCCACGGCUAACUACGUGCCAGCAGCCGCGGUAAUACGUAGGUGGCAA
rnacentral:rRNA from 1 species